rnacentral:rRNA from 1 species
UACGGAGGGUGCAAGCGUUGUUCGGAUUUAUUGGGCGGUAAAGGGCGUGUAGGCGGUUCGUUAAGUCUGAUGUGAAAGCCCCGGGCUCAACCCGGGAAGUGCAUUGGAAACUGGCGAACUUGAGUACGGGAGAGGGCAGUUGGAAUUCCCAGUGUAGCGGGUGAAAUGCGUAGAUAUUGGGAGAACACCAGUGGCGAAGGCGGCUACCUGGACCGGUUCUGACGCUGAUGCGCGAAAGCGUGGGGAGCGAACAGG